rnacentral:lncRNA from 1 species
GUUGAGUAAACUCUCCCACUCACGAAAACAUUCUAUAGCAAAAUUAAUGCAUUUGGACUGAGUUUGAAUCGAAUCUUCCUGGCUAAGAGCCAGAUUCUGACUACAUCCGUCAGCUAUGAUUAUUGGGUUCCCCAGCCCAUAGCAAAUUGAACAUGGGUUGGGGCUGCUAAGGGCAGCUACUCCGAGGACAAUAGAAGAGAAGCCACGAGUUAGAGUUAGACUGCUGGAAAACCUAUGUGAGAGAUAAAGGAACUCCAGCAAAUAUACUUAUUGGGAAUAUUUGGCAUAAAACCAGAGUCCUACACAGUUAUUUGGAUGAAAUGCUUAUUUCUUUUUUAACAUAAGCAUUGACUGGAAAUAUUGGUUAUUCUGUCUGAUAUUACAUGAAGGUCAGAUGCCCUCCAUGCAACCAUGAGGUCGGAUGGCAGUUUGAUGCUGAACCAGCAAACAAGCCUACUCAGCAUGAAACUAUGAGUAUAAAAACCUUUAUGAUGACCUACCUCCACUUGGAUCAAUGAAGAGGCUCUAUCUGGAAGGCUUAUCCCUGUUCCAUGUUGCAUCACGUGGAGAAGUUCCCUAAGUGUUGGAGGAUUCACUUCAGGAUGACUCACUCACAUCUGAACCAGAACUCAGGACAACUUCUAUCAAUAAAAGAAGCUGCUCAUCUGAAAGACAGCAGCACAUCCAUGUGCCAGGCAUGCUCUUCUUUCAGUCCAUAGUUAAGUUGAGGUGUACAUAUAUGAACCUGUGUACUUGUGUUAUACUCACCAGAACUCCACAGCAUCACAAGCUGGGACAACAUCCUCACACUGUGGAGCAAGAAGACAACUUAAUUAAGAGACAGCAUUUAAUGACAAGGAAAGAAAAUGUUCCUUAUCUUGUAAAUUCCUUCGCUAAUGGAAUCUUCCAGCCCACCCUGGGAAGAAGAGUUGUGGACAUAGACACAUACAGAGAGAAGACCAUGUGAAGUCACAGGGAGAAGACAGCCACCUACAUACCAAGGAGAGAGGCUGUACAAGAAACCAACCCUGAUGACACCUUGAUCUUGGACUUCCAGCUUCCAGAUUUACAGGAAAAUAAAUUUCCGUUGUUUAAGCCACACAGUCUAUGGCAUUUUGUUAUGGCAGUUCUAGCAAACUAAUAUACAGCCUAUAUCAUAUACUACUCAGUUUGACUACUUUUAUUUUGGAACAUAUUAUACUUUUGCUACUUUUGCUUAUGCAGUUUCUUUUGCUUAGUGUCCCUUGCUAGUAGAUAUUUAUAUUUAAAGAUAUUUUAGGCCUGGCACAGUGGCUCACACCUGUAAUUCCAACACUUUGGCAGGCUGAGGUGAGUAAAUCACUUGAGGCCAGGAGUUUGAGAUCAGCCUGGCUAACAUGGCGAAACCCCUUCUCUACUAAAAAAUACAAAAGUUAGCUGGGCGUGGUGGCGGGUGCCUGUAAUCCCAGCUACUUGGGAGGCUGAGGCAGGAGAAUGGCGUGAACCUGGGAGGCGGAGCUUGCAGUGAGCCGAGAUUGUGCCACUGCAAUCUGGCCUAGGCUAAAGAGCGGGACUCCGUCUCAAAAAAAAAAAAAAAAAAAAAAAAGUAAUUUCUCCCUCUUCUACAUUUCUUUUGUAAUUUUCCCUUACUUCUAAUAAAGCAACCAUCACAUUAUAUUUUUAUUUCUCCUGUAAAAUUGCACCAGUCCUCAAAGAAAAGAUCAGAGCAGUGACAAGAGUCAAGUCAGACAUGGUGGUUGCUUGGAAUGGUAUGAUGACAGUGUUGGUGAAAAUACAUGAAAAGAGGUAGAAUUGAUGACUGUGGUGGUUUAUAAAACGUAGGGAGACAAGUUAGAAGUCCAUAUGAAGGAUGCAGUCCUGGAAUGAGGAUGCUGUCAUCUGGGACCAUAAGACAUGAAGACAAGAGUGGCGUUAUGAACUGAAAGGAGCCAGGAGCUUUGUUGGAAUAGAACCACCCUAUUAACCCUGGACUUCCUGCCUGGGCUAAUUUGCAUUUGAGAGAGAAAUAAACUACUGUACAUAAGCCACUGCAAUUUGUUUUCCCACUUGCCGUCAAUAUAAUCCUAACGGAGAGAGCAGACAACAAGGUAUUAUUGAGUUAAGAUGAGAAACAGGGGACAUUAAGAGGAGGUAAAAUCCUUUACUUCCAAAUGUUGCUGUUCGCUGACGCUGGUGAAUAGCCAUGUGACAAUGAAACCCAACCAAAAAUUGAGGAGCCAAAAUAAUAGAAGAUGGGUGAAGAUGAGGAGGAAAAGCCUUCAUUGGAAGAGCAAGCUGACUCCCCCAUGAC